rnacentral:sRNA from 1 species
CUUUGUGGUGGGGCCGCCCUGUGCCUUGUAGCCAUCCCCAGCCCCUACCCACUAGAUGCCAGUAGCACCCUCAGCGUGGCAAUCAAAAAUGUCUCCAGACAUUGCUCAGUGUCCCCUGGAAGGCAGAAUCACCCUUGCCGCCGACCUUUGCACUCCGCAGAAGCCAGUAGGAGCAUAGAACAGCUUCCUCGGGUUGCUCCAGCAGUCACUGCCAGGAGAGCCUCGGGCGCCCAGGUGAAGCUGGUCUGCCACUGCCCCGGAUCCAUGUGGAACCAGAGCUGGAUCAUGUGGAGGAGUCAAAAAUGCCCGGGCCCUGGCCUGUCUUCAGGAGCCCACGGUCUGAUGGGGAAGGCGGUCACUGUAAUCGUCAGAGAGAAGACACCUGAAGGGGUUGUGAAGCUGCUGUGGGUGACAGUGACAGGCGUCAUAGAUCUGGCUGCAAGCCUGGGGAAUCAUUCAUGGAAGUGGUGGCAUUUCAUUCCUUCAAUGUCUCCUGAGAGCCACUUGUGGCCUAAGCACUGGACUAGGCCCUGGAGCUAGAAAACUGAUGAAGACGUGGGCUGGGCACUGAAUGUACGGUCUACUGAGGGCAUCAGGAGAUGAAUGAGGAGGCUUUCCAAGGGAGGCGGGCAGGGGAACGGCCAGGGGAAUGGCCAGGCGUUGCUGGUGUGCUGGGCGGGGAGGCGCUGGGUCCGCAGGCCUAGGUUUGAGUCCAGCUCUCCCACUUGCCAGCUGGUGCCCUCAGGUGAGUCACUUCUCCCAGACCUCCAGCUCCUCGUUUACUUAAGGGUAUCUUGAACACACAAUCAGAAGUAGUGGCUCUGAAGUGCUUACCUGUUUGCUGGCCGAGUUCAUUCAUCCUUUCCACAAGUAUCAUUAAGCACCUACUGUGUGCUGAGUACUGGGGCCUCCACAGGGAACAAAACAAAGCCCCGCCUCCGUGGAACUCAUACUUUGUUGGGAGAGGAGAAAAAAUCAGUUGUCUGUGAGAGCAUAUCAGGCAGUCUUAAGCACCUUUAGGAAACAAGGCAGGGUCAGAGGCUACAAAGGGAAGGAGGGGGCCGAUUGGAUGGGGGGUUGGAGGCUGCUGAUGAAGGAACAUUGAGCAGAAACCUGAAUGAGUCAUGCCGCUAUGGGGCGCGGCUGGUCCCUGGCAGAGGAAGCGCGGUGCAAAGGUCCUGAGACGAGCACGCUGCCUGGCGUGUCACACAGUAGCUGAGAGGUCAGGGUGGCUGAGUGAAGUGAGCAGCCUGGGGAGGGAGGAGAGAAGAGGCUGGGGCAGUGGCCAAGCCCAGAUCACAGGAGCGCUUACCAGGUUUACCCCCUGCGUGGUGGCCACUGGAUGGGUAUGAGCCCUGGAUCUGGUGGGGCUGGUGACAGGCCUGUCUGCAGAGGACUUGUGUAAGAAAGAUGAAGAUGCGACACCCAAACUCCUCCCGCCUGGCUAGAUGGGAGCAUGGAGCAAACCAACCUUUGCUGCCUGCUGUGGGGUGCCACGGGAGCAGAUGGCGGCUUCACGGAGAAGCUGGGGGCCAGACUCCACGUUAAUCCCAUGGAUGGCUUAAGGAGCUUCCCCGCAGCAACCAUGCGUGGUGCCUCUCUGUAAAGAAAAAAUGCAUUGUUUGUGAAGUGGAUCAAGAUGCGGCCUCCCAGAACGCUGCCCUUUUGAGGAAUGGCUUGUCUUAGAAGGGAAGAGAAAGGCCAAAUAGAAUGUUCAUCUUUUGUAAAGUUUAAAAAAAAAAAAAAAGCCAGCCUCCAAGGCUGAGAAUCGAUAUUAAUUUCAUGGGCUUAUGGGCAGUGAGAUAAAGCAGGUUUCUGGCAGCCCUUUCCAGCCCUAUUGGAUUUUACAAUCUUGAACUGUGAAGAGAGCGAAUAAAGGUAUCAAGGGCUCUGCCCGUCUCCAGCUGUCUUGGGCCACAGCUCAUCCAAAUCCCCCACCCUCCAUCCCGGCCUGCAGCCCUCUGAAAGGCAGGUUGGAUGGCAAGAAAUGGCUUGAGCCCUCGAAGACGGCUCACUACAAGGACAGUUGGGAUUGUGGCUUUAGGAGGGAUUUACGCAGCUCCUCCGGGGCAGGUGAGGACCACGGGGUCAUGCUAGAGAGUCAGCUCAACGUGGCUGCCUGGGACACGUCUACAUGCCAGAGGGCAGCCAAGGGGAUGACUGACUCUAACUACAUCUGGUUUUAGACCAGGGCUGCUCGUCCGGGCACCAUUGAGGUAGGGCAGGAAUGGGCUCAGCGUGCUAGGGACCAUCCUCCUCUGCAACCCUGCCCUCCUUGCAUUUACCGAGCCUGUGCGUGGCGCUGCCCGCACCAGCUAGCCUGGGCAUCUUCCGUCUGUGUGAUCCAUUUCAGGGCCUGUUGCUUGGUCUUUCUAAAACUCCAGCUUCGUGGGGGUGACCCACACAAGUGAACCUUCGCCCCUCCUUGUACUCUGCCACAGCCACUUUGAAUUUCUCACUGGAUAACUGUGCCGGGUUCCACCACCUCCAGGCUCACACAGGCUGCUCCGACUGCCAGAAAUCCUCACCCUUCUAGCUUUGCUUGGUGGCUUCUUACCCUUCCUCAGUUCUCAGUGUCCAUGUCAUGCCAGGAAAACCUUCCCGGACCUUCUCCCCUAUCCCCUCUCUGGCCCCGGCCCCAAGGCCUAGCUGUGCCUAGCAUGUUGUGGGUCCCAGUUGAAGUUGAAUGAAUAAAUGAGUGAAAAGCCAAGGGAGAAUGGCCACCCAACCGGGGCCUGGGAUGGAGGCGCAGCUGUGGCCAGCAGCAGGAGCCCCAUGCUCCCCCAAUCCAGUGUCACCUCUUGUGCCUCCCUUCUUCCUCCGUAUCAGGGUGGGGCAGCUUCCCGGACUGCUCCCAGUCCUGUCCCAGCUCCUCCGUCUUGAGUUCAGUGUGGACCUGCCUCCUCUUCACCCUGCAGGUCGCCAGCUCUCCAGAUCCUGCUGACCAACACCAAAGUCCCUCGCAAUACCAGGGCCCUCGUGGCUGGCGUCAGAAACAGGCUGCUCAAGUUUCCAGAGAUCGUGGCCCCCCUCCUGACCUCAAUAGAUGCCAUCUCCCUGGAGUGUGAGCGCGUGCUGGGAGAGAUGGGGGAAGCCCCAGCCCCGGAGCAGUACCUCGUGCUGGAAGAGCUCAUUGACAUGAACCAGCACCAUCUGAAUGCCCUCGGCGUGGGCCACGCCUCUCUGGACCAGCUCUGCCAGGUGACCAGGGCCCGCGGACUUCACAGCAAGCUGACUGGCGCAGGCGGUGGCGGCUGUGGCAUCACACUCCUCAAGCCAGGGCUGGAGCAGCCAGAAGUGGAGGCCACGAAGCAGGCCCUGACCAGCUGUGGCUUUGACUGCUUGGAAACCAGCAUCGGUGCCCCCGGCGUCUCCAUCCACUCAGCCACCUCCCUGGACAGCCGAGUCCAGCAAGCCCUGGAUGGCCUCUGAGAGGAGCCCACAACACUGCAGCCCCACCCAGAUGCCCCUUUCUGGAUUAUUCUGGGGGCUACAGUUCGACUCUGUGCUGGCCAGCGAGUGCCCAGCUCCUGACACUGCUGGAGAGGCCUCAGCCGCUUGGCGAUGCCAGCCGAGCUCUGCAGUCCCAGCGGUGGGACCUAGGGAGGCAUGGUCUGCGCUCUGCAUCCUCUGGAGCCAGCCGAGCAGGAGGCCCAGGAGGGUCCUCUGAGACUCCAGACCUGAGGCGAGAAGGGCUGCUUCCCCGAAGCUCCCACAGUCCCAUCUGCUUCAGGCCCCCGCCUUGGCCUGUGUUCUCCCUGGCCGCCUGGGUCCGAUGCUCAGAUGCUAGGGCCUGGUUCCCGGAGAAGUGUGCCUUCUCUCUCCCUCUUCAGGGACCACCCCCUGUCUCUCAGGGCCAGGCCUCUCCCUCCUCCUCCAGGAAGCCUCCCCCUACCCCUUGUCCCCCCUCCCUCCCAGAGCAUCUGCUGUCUGGGUGGGUCACUCAGCAUUUGGUGUAGCCUUCCCUUCUACCUAGCGGGACGGAGCUCCCCCAGGGGCUGUCCCGGAGGCGGUGGGCCUGGUUAAAUAAGGCAGGGUUUAUGUGCACUUUCUUCCAAUCUGUACCUGAGAGGUUUGUGGAAAAGAUGGCAAAUGGGGAAUAAAAAGAUUUUGUGUCAAC